CCUACGGGUGGCUGCAGUGAGGAAUAUUGGUCAAUGGGCGUAAGCCUGAACCAGCCAAGUCGCGUGAGGGAUGAAGGUUCUAUGGAUCGUAAACCUCUUUUAUAAGGGAAAAAAGUGUGGGACGUGUCCUGUUUUGUAUUGACCUUAUGAAUAAGGAUCGGCUAACUCCGUGCCAGCAGCCGCGGUAAUACGGAGGAUCCGAGCGUUAUCCGGAUUUAUUGGGUUUAAAGGGAGCGUAGGCGGCUUUUUAAGUCAGCGGUGAAAGUCAGUGGCUCAACCAUAGAAUUGCCGUUGAUACUGGGAGGCUUGAGUAUGUUUGAGGCAGGUGGAAUGCGUGGUGUAGCGGUGAAAUGCUUGGAUAUCACGCAGAACCCCGAGUGCGAAGGCAGCCUGC
rnacentral:rRNA from 1 species